rnacentral:rRNA from 1 species
AAGUCGUAACAAGGUUUCCGUAGGUGAACCUGCGGAAGGAUCAUUAAUGAGUGUGAAACCUCCCCGUAAAAAGGGGGGUUACCCUCCAGUCCUUUUGCUGGGCCCCCUUAUUUUUGGGGGGGCUUUUAUAACUUUCUGCUUCGGCGGGGUUUUUUUACCCGCCGGAACAACCUCAAAAUUCUUGAUUUGAAAUUGUACAGUCCGAGAAUUUUAUUUUAAAUGCUAAAAAACUUUCAACAACGGAUCUCUUGGUUCUGGCAUCGAUGAAGAACGCAGCGAAAUGCGAUAAGUAAUGUGAAUUGCAGAAUUCAGUGAAUCAUCGAAUCUUUGAACGCAUAUUGCACCCUCUGGUAUUCCGGGGGGUACACCUGUUCGAGCGCCAUUACAACCCCUCAAGUAUUACUUGGUGUUGGGUGAAGUCCUUGGGGGACCCACCCGUAACUUGUAGGCGGUUACAGCCCUCUCCCUCAGCGUAGCAGGCUUACGCACUCGCUCGGGGAAGGUAUGUAACCAGCUUGACAAUAAAUUUUCAAGGUUUGGCCUCGGAUCAGGUGGGGAUACCCGCUGAACUUAA